rnacentral:rRNA from 1 species
GUGGGGAAUAUUGGACAAUGGGGGGAACCCUGAUCCAGCCAUGCCGCGUGUGUGAAGAAGGCCUUUUGGUUGUAAAGCACUUUAAGCGAGGAGGAGGCUACCGAGAUUAAUACUCUUGGAUAGUGGACGUUACUCGCAGAAUAAGCACCGGCUAACUCUGUGCCAGCAGCCGCGGUAAUACAGAGGGUGCGAGCGUUAAUCGGAUUUACUGGGCGUAAAGCGUGCGUAGGCGGCUUUUUAAGUCGGAUGUGAAAUCCCCGAGCUUAACUUAGGAAUUGCAUUCGAUACUGGAAAGCUAGAGUAUGGGAGAGGAUGGUAGAAUUCCAGGUGUAGCGGUGAAAUGCGUAGAGAUCUGGAGGAAUACCGAUGGCGAAGGCAGCCAUCUGGCCUAAUACUGACGCUGAGGUACGAAAGCAUGGGGAGCAAACAGGAUUAGAAACCCGUGUAGUCC